UAGGAUAUAAUAUAUACACUAGGAAGGGGUGCCAAUUUGGAUUUUUCACAGAAAGCAGAACACAUUCAUCAGGACCAAAAUCAUUCUUCUUCAUACUCACCGUGACACCAUGAAAAUUCCCACAAGAACACACCCACAGUGAUAUCCCCUAAUUUCCAUGCCAUAACAUAUACACCAACUGACAUAUACAUGCACACAGAGGUUGAGGACAGAAAAUCAAGUGAAAAGAGAAGAGAGAGGGUUGUGAGAGAAGGAGAGAGCUACGAGAGAGAGAAAGGGGGCUUUCAUGUCAUUGGUCACUGUUUCGAUGACUUAGCUCGCUGGAAUUAGUUUUCCAUUCGUUAUUCGAUCGUUUCACUUUGAAUUCCAAUGAAAUCUCACCGGAAUCGACAUCAAGAUCAUCGUCUAGGUCUGCUCCAUUCUGAAAUUCUCUAAAUCCUCUCGUUCUUCCUAAUUUCUGCACAAAAUUUAGUUGGAAUCUGGUCUAUUCCAGUCGAUUUUUUGUUGGACAAAGUAACCCACCACCGUCGCAUCAAAUUUGUUAAAUCCGGUGGAUCGGGAUCCCGUCUCCAUCAUCAAAACAAAUACCAAAGUCACGAUUCUGCAUUUGUUAUUGUCGAACAGUGAAUAAACAAUCAAAAAUUCAUUGAUCAUUGGUGACCAACAAGUCAUCUCAGUUACGUUGUUCAUACCUGUGUGUCAAGUUUUGGGGAAAAUGGAGUUUGGGUCGAGGUUUGCGAGUUUAGUUCGGAGAUUUUUGGACUCCGACUCGAGGUUUCCGGCGCGGAUUCUGGCUCGCUUAACCGAGUAAUACAUUGAAAUUCAUUAAGGUCCAUUUCUUAUCUCUUCUCAAUUGAGCUUAAUUAUUGAUAUUUGGUGUGGUAAAUUCAUGGCGUGUGAACAUUGUUUCAUGUGAUUUGACUAUAUGUUUGGAUUAUGGAUGGUGGUUGAUGUUAAUUGAUUGAUUUCAUUUGAAUAGAUUAAUUAAAGGAUUUGAAUUCGUUUGGGAUAAAUUUUAACUUGGGGAAGACGGGAAUUGAAAGGCGAUAAAGUGACUAUUGUAGUGUUUUGAUUCAUCGAUUGUUAUUGGAUUUGAAAUGAAUGUUAAUGUUAUCAAACAUGGUAGUAUCGUGAUAAGACCAUCAAAAGAGUAGGCAAAUAGUAGGCUUGGGUAGGCAAAUUUAGAACUUAUGGAUUGUUUGAGUGUUUGAAAUGUUUGUGGAAUGGUUUGUUUUUCUCGUAUAUGGAAAAUGUAUUCAUUUAGGCGGGGAAUGAUCCGAGACACAUUGUAUUUAUUCACCGGAGAAUGCCCCGACGUAUUAUGUUGGCGGAAAAUGUUUGUGAUGAAGGCCCGAGGCAUCGGGUAAGCAUUGGAGCAUAGUUUAGGAUUAGUCUAGAAUAGGA
rnacentral:lncRNA from 1 species